UAUUAACUCACACUAACUACGCCCGGGUACUACAAGCCCAGCUUAAAACCCAAAGGACUUGACGGUGUCCCACCCAACUAGAGGAGCCUGUUCUAUAAUCGAUAACCCCCGAUUUACCCAACCCAAUUUUGCCAAUCAGCCUGUAUACCUCCGUCGUAAACUUACCAUAUGAAUGCACACAGUAAGUCCAAUGAUCUUAUCAUCAAUACGUCAGGUCAAGGUGCAGCUCAUGAUAGGGAAAGUAAUGGGCUACAAUUUCUAAGAUAGAACAUACGAAAUGCUUUAUGAAACACAGCAUGAAGGCGGAUUUAGCAGUAAAAAGG
rnacentral:rRNA from 1 species